rnacentral:tRNA from 1 species
UCCCUGUUAACUCAGCUGGUAAAGAAUCUGCCUGCAAUGCAGGAGACUCCGGUUUGAUUCCUGGACUAGGAA